GAGAAGAGGAGAAGAAUAGAAGAUGUACCUGGUAAGUCUCAAUCUCUUACUCUCUGCCUCUCUUUCACUCUAUCUUGACUCUUCCCUUUCUUGUCGCUCAUGUCCUGUUCGUUCAACCGUAUCCGUUUUGAAAUUACCUUAUCCGACACAAAUCCUGCACCCGUAUCGACACAGGUACUCCAUCUGAAACAGUCGAGUUCAAGUAACACAAAAAAUUGAAAGGACAAUACUGCACAAGUUACUUCUCUGCCAUAAUAAUCACUUGAUGCAUUUUAGCACAAGAUUAACAUGCCAC
rnacentral:lncRNA from 1 species